CUUGGCAGCGUGAAGGUUGCUCGCAGCGUGUGCCCGUAGUUCGCGUUCCGCUUCAGACACACUGAUAUGUUUCCAGCAGCUCCAGUCUGGUUGUGGGCUUGACUAAACUGUCAAAUAAGACGGGAGUCCUGACCGUGGUUUUCCUGGUCGUCCUGAUUUCAUUUCUUGUCCGUUUUUGAAUGGUAACCUUCGUUGCGAACGCUAGAAUCAGUUUGGAACGUAAAGGUCGCCAGUAGUUCUGUGCUCGAACAACGAAGUUUGCAAGUUUCGCGGCCAACAAGGACGCAACCGAGUGUUUUGAAAUGUGAAGGAAAUUUUGUGCCGUUUGCAUGGUUGUCCUGAUUUGCAGUGGAAAUCGCGACGUGGUAAAUCCUUGGAGAGUGUACAGAGUGUUUUGGGUGUUUUUUUCAGUCGUAGCUAGUGUCCGGGAAGCAGGAAAUUAGGCACGGUUACUCGUCCUUGCGGUAGAGAGCCUCCUGUUUCGUGUGCUGCAAGUGUCAACGUCCUUAGCGUAGCGGAGCAGUGAGUUGUAGGGUCAGCAGGUCGCUACCCGAGUAGCGUGCAUGCCGCGUUUGAACUUUACUAAUUUUGGUGUAGUUGGACCUUCCGAACGGUCAGAAAACAGGACUUUUGGUUAAGCCAGCGAACGGACCAGGCGAAGUGUUUUUAACCUGAGGAAUCCGCACAAAAAUGGGAUAAUGGCGGAUUUCAUGACAUCGAGAACUUGGGAUUUGAAGACUCCAUUGAAGCUUGAUCACUAUCAUCAGCACUACAGAGCGCCUUCCGCCCCGGAUGGGACGCUAGUUUCCAGAAUGGGGGAGUCGUCAUCGUCAGAACAAAAAUCAAAGAUGAAUUUGUGCAGCACUUCAACUGCAGCAGCAACAAAAAGAACUCCAAUCGAACGAUCGACAUCAUCGUCAACAGUGGAAGCAUUGUGCCGCCAAAGUGAUAAUUAUUGUGGCCAGAAUUACGAAAAAAGUGCGGCAAAAGCCACAUUCUCGCUGAUCAUGUCGGCACUGCGCGGUCACUUUUUGAAUUCUUCAGAUUCGAACAUGAUCGAUAGUAAUUGUUGUCAAACAACCAGUCAUGUUGGCAUGACUCUAAACCUACCUACCAUCGCCGCAUCCAAAUCAUCGAGAUUGAUACUAUCAUCAAAGACAAAAGCAAGAUCGCCAGUAGUCCCAUUGCAAAAGGUCAGAUACACAUCAGACGCAACAGGCACACGACGGGAGUCUGCGGCUCCUGAAGCAACAACGACAAUUACGGCAAACACUGAAUUAACAGGAGAGGAAAACGAUAAAAAUGCUAGUGAUCAUCAUCCUAAUAACGUAGUAGAGUGUAGAAUACCAUUAGUUAAUGCAAAUAAUGAAUAUAGUAGAUUGGCGACAGAAGCGGCAGCGUCACGACUAAAAGUCACGGACAUGGUUGCGUCUUCGUCGUCAUUAUCACUUCCUCCUAGAAAAACAAGGUGCAAUGAUACAAAUCGAAGGGAGAAUAGAAGCGUGAUUGCAAUGGGCGGCAAAAGUGUGUGGUGGCAGUUAGUUGUAGCAGUGUACUCCCUACUAUUGUAUAUAUCAGCGACAUCAGUUUGUUGGGCAGCAAGACAAGAAGUUGCUUCAAAUUGUACAUUUCCUUCACGAUGGGAGGGAACAUGGUUUCUAUCCGGAUAUCAACAAUCAGUACAUAUUAGAGGUUCACAAUUUAGUUAUCGAGGUAAAUGCGCGGCAUCGGAUGGUAAUAAAUAUUUAAUAGUAAAUGAUGAAUGUCAUCGAUGUCUGGUCAUCUAUGAGAAGCAUAAAAAUGUUCUGCAAUUUAAAGAAAGUGAGUGCGAAGGUGACAAUAUGUACGGUGAUCAAUCGAAUCCGGCUGCAAUGGCUAUGCGUAGCGUAGUCAAAAGCGAUCAUAGGGGGGGAGCUCAUCCCAACUCGAACGGGCAUCAAAGAUUAUCGUCAUCGGAUCAAUAUAUAAUGCGAUCCAAUGACGAUGGUAAUGAUUGUAGCUUUUGUAAGAGACGUGAAACGUUACAAAAUUUAUGUGAUCAAAUCCCCGGCGAUGCAUUGUUGUACAGUUUGUUUCGGGAGAAUGCAGAACCAGUAAAAUGUCCACUUAAUGGACCCUUUUCAUUUACAUAUAAUAGAGGACAUGGCGAAUGUAAAUCACCGGUAUCAAACAUUGAAAGUUGUACGGAGGAUAGUCGUUUGUUGUUGAGUUUUCAAGCGUGUCCGGAUGUUCAAGGAACCGAGAGUACAGUUGAAGAGCUAACCUGCUUGGCAACGUGGAAGGAUGGAAACUCCAGAUAUCUGAUCGGUUUAGUAUCUCAGCAUCACACACAUCAUUUACAAGCCCCACAUCAUGCACUAUCGAAUGAGGAGCGCUACAGAUGCUUCGUUUACGAAAAGAUAUCAACGCUGAUGGGUAUAUUUCCAGGUCCGAUGAGUAAUUUAAACGUAAAAGAUGCUGAGUACAAAUUGGCUCAGUCCGGAGAUGCCACAUGUAAUGGUCUGGAUAGUGCGGAGGUUGGAUCACGUAUCAUGACACUGCGAAAACCUCCGCCAGCAGAACGUUGCGACUUCCCGGCGUGGUUCAAAGCACCUCGACAUUGGCGCGCUCUAAUGGGUAACAUUGUGUAUACAUUUCAUCAAAGUGACGGAUCGAUACAUAUUAAAAGCAAUGGACUAUUGGAGACCUGGGCGUUGUGCGAGCAAAUUAAUAAGCAGACCCAGACCGAAAUGAUGGCCGUGGUGCAUUAUACGAGUCAAUGCGAAUCGGGAUUCAUGUGUAUGACAUUCUACAAACGUGAUAUGCAAGUUGCUGAAAUCCAAAUGGGCACGCCAGCGUCUAGACUGGAAGAUGCUUGCGCCCCGGACCAUUUCGAUAUAAAUAAGCUGCCAUUUGUCACACUUCUGGCGAGCAGUCCCGAAUCGCAAAUAUGUCCUUUGGAAGGCUUAUUCAGUCUCCGUGGGGCAAUUGGACCACCGUAUAUAACAUCCAGGCACAAACGUAACCAUAAUAACAAAGGACACAAUCAGCAUGGCCAUCAUCAUCAUGAGCAGGGACAUAAAAGGCACGGAAUUCAAAGCUUCCGAAAUUCUGAGGAGUUUGGUCAAACAUCCUGGCAAUCUCAUACUCGAGGUCUUUCAAUUAGAAGUCGACGUGCUGCCACUAACCCCACCAUAUCGAGCCAGACCCGCUCCGUAGUAAUCUCCGGAUACGAUUUAAUAGACUCCUCGAGUGUUGCUGACUCUGUUCCAUAUAAAUCGAAAGUCCUUGUUCCGAAUCAUAGAAGCAAUCGCAUUUCUAUGGAAGGAAGUGAAACCUUUCACAAAGGCACUGGCAAUAAUGACGAUGAUGGCGCAGAUGAAGAGAAUAUCCUCGAUAUAACAAACGAAAAAACAAUUGAGAUGCCGCCAAAUGUGGAUGGAGGACUCAGUGCAUCAUCGCAGCAACGCAACCGUCGGGACGUUCCAGCAUGUAUAGUAAAUUAUAAAGCACAACGGCAGCUCCUGGUCGGUUGUACGGAUCCAAAUUUGAUUGAAGUCCGACCUAGAUGCAGUGAGGAUGGCGAGGAAUCGUAUCUUUGUCAUGGCUCAUGGACCGAAAACAGCACAGUGUACAUAGUAGCGAAGAAUCAAGCCACCCAACAUGGAGUUUGCAUUAGUUAUAAGCAAUUAGAUGGGAAUGAUGGUCUGCUGGUCGUGGGAGAUUCAUGUUAUCGAGGACUACAAAAACCGCCUGAUCAUCAUUUCGUAGCUAAUCUAACAUUAGCCGGUAAAUGUGGUGAUACCAAUUCCGCACAUUCAAUCCGCCGCUACCAUUCGAAACAAAAUUGGAUUCUAUUAGCGAUUUCAACAACAACUACACUAAUGGGAAUCACAGUUUCAUCUGCGAUGCUGGUCAACUUUUCAGCUAGAUGACUCUGAUAAUUUCGCAUUAGCUUGCUGCCUACCACCAACAUCCAUACGAGAUUGUAUCUGUAAAUUUGAAAUGAACUAAUCUACAAAUAAGGAAUAAUUUAGGCUUCAAACAAAUAUUAUACUCAAUUGAUGAAACUAACGUAAACAUCUCGAAACAGUGGAAGAACUGCAUUAUAUUGAUGCACAUAAAGCUCGGAGAUAAACGUGUAAAAAUGAUAACUACUGUAUUCUGUAUAUUCAAAAAAAAAGGAUACCGAUAGGAAAAUAUUACUUAGCGAAGGGAAGACUAUAGUGGAACAGAUUUUUUUAUAUAUACGAUAAGACAUUUAAAUGAUUGUACAUGGGAAGGGUGUGAAACAAACGGGAAGAAAGUGAAAACUGGAUAUUGUGUAGGAACAGAUGACGAAGAAUGAACAGAGCAAACUAUUAUUCUAAGCAUAUGAACUAGAAAAUGUACUGUUCAGCUAAAGAUUAAAUUUAAAAUUAGAUAUUAAAGAAUGGAGAUGUUUUAUAUAUACAUAUAUAUAUAUAUAUAUAUUUAAAGUAUACAAUAACAAGUCGCUACAAAUGACUGAAAGACUAGACAAACUUGAUAUGAUCUAAAUAGUCCAUUUGCAUUGUAUUACCGCAUGGACAAACAGAAAAAUCUAAAUAGCAUCACGCGUUUGUGGGAGAUUUAGUAGCUCAGCAAAGGUCGCUUCACAAUACGAUUUAUUGGGCACUGUGAUCGUCGUGAAUCCAAUCAAAACACUGGCCCUGUUAAUUUAAGUGGGAAUAAUUUGAUUGAGAAAAACAAAAAAAAAAUUGCAUGUGGUGUAAAUCCCGGUGAGAUGCCGCAUCUUUUCGAAAAUCGAUACUAAUUGAAAAUACGCUGUUCCCUUCCACUUUUUCAAAAGAUUCUUAUUUCUGCUCAAACUAAUCAUGAUUUAUUCUUUACGAACAGAGAGAUUGAUCUUCAUUUUCAUCAGCCUUUGUCCCGUUCAGAAGCGGGGUCGGCUCCCCUUAAUCGGUUGCGCCAUUUUGCUCGGUUAUAUGCCUGAUCUGGAUAGAGUCUAGAAGGCACACCAUCGCCAUUUAAUGUAUCAAGCUAUCUUUGUUUUGGCGGGCCUUUUGUCGUUUUCCAUCGACUUCAAUGUUCAGACCAAUAUUAGCAAGUGAGUUUUCAUCAGUGCAAAUCCAUUGGUCCAAAGCAACACUUUCGUCUGCAUUACCGCAAGGCGCCGUUCAUUGUCUUUUAUAGUCGGUCAACAUUCAGAACCAUAGAGGGCAACAAGGCUUAUCAUCACAGAAAUUGAUGUGUACAUAAAAUAGAAAAAUCUUCGAAAAAGCACAAAACAUUUUCAGGUCAUUGUUUGUCGAUUUCUGUAUUUCGAAAUUUGCCGAGGUCCUUCGAACGACAACGAAGCGAAUCCUUUCUUUCAUUUUUCCACUAAAUCGAUAGUUUUAAUUGGCACAUUUUUUCCUUCUUCUUCCAACUAGUUUAUUUAAACAGAAAAUGUUUUCUUUUUCUCAGUUUCUGUUUUCCGUUUCGAUUUUCCUCGAAUGCUGCCAAUACUUAUUACCGAUGGCAAAAGGUGUGUAAAUUGUGAAUUUUUUGGCGUUGUACGUUGAAAUUUACUUUUGGAAUACUCCACUGUCGCUACUUUGAUCAGGGCGUCACAAACUGGAGCUCCUGCUUGCAAUCUGGUCAGUUUGCGACGUAGGCGGCCUCUAACACCAUGUGAUGUGUGCAGCGAAUGGCAAGAUAAGACCACGCCAUUAUUUUCAGUGUCAAUAAGCCAAUAUAUGGCUUAUUACACGCCUAUGCUUUGUUGCCAAGUACACACGACUUUUCGUGUGUAGGUUUGAAGUUGAUAACAUUUGCCGUAAAGUUCCUAUGCACCGUGAAUGCCACUCCAAACUCGCAUUUCCCUGAUACCUGUCCACUUUUGAAGAUUAUGGGCGACCUCAUACCAGUCAUUUCGCAACCAUUCCAAUCUAUUCCUGGACUGCUAGAACCCUAAAUUUGUACUUGCUGGCCUGUCGAAAUGGGUCCUCGGCAACAUCAGAUUUGUUUAGUGACCCAACAUUCCGGGAUCCAAGAGCGUUCCUUUACGUGGUCGUUUCCAUGGUAUCGACCCUCUUCGAGGCUAUUCAUCCAGUCUCUGCACAUAUUUGUUGUGGAAUGGCGUUUAUUUGACAGUUGAAUGUAUAUUAAAUACAGUUGUAGUAAACUUAAUUGUUAAUUCACACUAUGUAUUACAUUUAAUGGUUAGUUCACACUGUUACAUUUCUCCUUCCUUCAGUAAUUUUACAUCUCUUCGACUAGUCUCUUGGGUCGAUUUCUUAGCCGUUGGCUUCGCCGUACUGGAUGUUCAAUUUGUUGUGCUUCGGUGUGUUGUCCUUGUUCACUCAUGUUUCCGUUUUCAUGCGACGGUAUAGCGGGCUGCAUAGACUGCUGAUGUUCCUGUUCAUCAUCUGCUGUCGGACUUGCAGAUUGGUGAUGGAAACUGUUUCGCCUAAAAUCUGAGACAUCCCGGAAGUCGAUUGAUUGUGAUUGAUGGUGGUAUUACCCUCCGUUCUCGGAUAUGAUCUGCAUGUCGUCUUCUUUCUACACCGUCCUUUGUAGGAAUAUUGUUCUUUCGACUAUGUUGGCUGGUUCCCACAUUUUCUCGAUGUCUGUCUUUACGAAUACUGGUUGUGCUGGUUGGAACUUUCUGUUAGACUGCUCUGCUUGAAGAUUUUGUUUUACAUGUUUAAAAUGCAUCUCUCGCCGUACAUUAGGCUUCAGAUUGUCAAAUAAAGUUCGCAGGCGUCGACCUCGCAAAAAUUCAGAUGGUGCCUUCCCUGUAAAGGAGUGUGGUGUGUUUCGAUAUGUAAAUAGAAAUGUGCGCAAGCGCUGACGUUGUGAUAAACCAUCAUAUUCACUGGCUUUCAUGCGCUCCUUAAAUGUUCGUACGAAUCGUUCGGCUAGUCCGUUGGUUUUCGGAUGGUACGGUGAAGACGUUACAUGUUUUAUUCCAUGACUUUGACAAUAAUUUCGAAACUCUUCUGACGUAAAUUGACUACCAUUAUCCGACACGAUAAUUUCCGGAUAACCAAAUGUUAUAAACUUCUCCUCUAGGAAUUCGCACAAAGUUCUUGUGGUGGCAGCAUAAAGUACAUCUGCUUCUACCCACUUUGAUAAAGCAUCAACAAGCACAAUCCACAUUUUUCCUUCGAAGGGACCUGCAAAGUCCACAUGCAGUCGUUGCCAACAAUGCUCUGGCAGGGACCAAAAGUAGAUUGGCAGUUCAGAUUGUUUUGGGCGUUGACGUUGACAUGCCAUGCAUGAUUUCACUGUAUAUUCCACGCCCUUGUCGAUGUUCGGCCACCAUACAUAGUACCUCGCUGGCGCACGCAUAGAGCCAAUGCCUGGAUGCCCUCUAUGAAGAUGCCUCAAUGUUACUUCUUGAAGAUUAUCGGGCACGAUAAUUCGUCCUUGCCACAUCAAAAUACCGUUUUCGUAUGAUAGUUCCUCCCGUUUAUCGUAGUAUGGUUUCAGCUCGUUGUUGACACACUUCGUGUCUGGCCAGUGACGCUCAAUUAACUCAAUUACUCGUCGUAAUAUUAGGUUAUGUUUCGUCUGCUUCCUAAGUUCCUGUUCUGUUAGUACAAUAUCAUCAAGCUUCCGUAUUUGAAUUACUGCAUAAAUUUUAUGAAUCUUCUGCGCUUCCUCCGAAAUUGCUUCAUGUGCGUUUGGUAAGCGUGAUAAGCAAUCAGCUAGAAUAUUGUAUUUGCCUUGACGAUACUGUAUAUCGUAAUUGUAUGCACCUAACAUUAGUGUCCAUCUCGUCAGACGGUUGUUUACGAUUUUUUGCAAAUUUCGUUUGUCUCCCAACAGGUGUUGAAGCGGCUUGUGAUCCGUAAUUAAUGUAAACUUUGUCCCACGUAAAUAUGGAUCAAAUUUCUUCACGGCGAAAAAUAUUGCUAAUGCCUCCUUGUCAAUGGUAGCGUAUUUUUGUUCUGCUUCGAUCAAUUUUCGUGACGCGUAGGCGAUAGGUAACUCGUUGUUAGCCUCGUCCUGAUGAUAUAAAACAGCACCAAGGCCUACAUCGGAUGCGUCUGUUGCCAAAUAAAGCGGUUUUGUGAGAUCGUAAGGAGUUAGAUGACGGGCGCUAGCUAUCAUAUGUUUAACAUUAUCAAGUUGUUUCUGUUCCGUUAUUGACCAUCGCCAUUGCGACUUUGUACCAGUUAAUGCGUGUAGUUCGGAACAUGCUCCAUGUAAGUUGGGUAUGAAUUUCUCGUAAAAAUUGACCAAUCCCAGAAAGGAUCGUAACUCCUUCUUGUUAGUGGGUAUUGCAGCAUUUUUUAUUGCUAUCAGCUUGUCUUCCACUGGAUAGAUCCCUUUUCGGUUGAAUUGAUGGCCCAAAUAGUCGAUACUGUCUUGAAAAAAGCUACAUUUGUUCUUUUCGAUACGAAAACCAGCUUCACGCAGACGUUUAAAAACUUCUCUUAAUGAUCUUAGAUGGCUAUCUUCAUCUGGACCUGUAAUGCCUAUGUCGUCGAAAUAGAUUGCAACGUUGGGUAUGCCAGCAAGUAGAUUUUCUAUAUAAUUUUGAAAUGUUCCGGGUGCACUCGAUAUACCAGGAGUCAUACGGUUAUACUGAAAAUACCCUUUGUGUGUGGAUAUCAUUAGGUAUUUUCUUGACUCUGGACUAAUCUCGAAUUGUAGAUAGGCAUCGCGUAGAUCUAAUUUCGUGUACUUCUCACCCUUGGCAAGCUGCUGACGGAUGUUUUCGAAUGUUGGUACUGGAUGUCGUAUUGUUACUAGUGCUGGAUUCAGUGUAACACGAAAAUCACCACAAAUACGUAUAUUUCCGUUCCGUUUAACCACGUUGACAGUGGGUGUUGCCCAUUCGAUUGGUGUUUCGUUGGGGUCAACAGAUGAGAUUAUUCCUGCUGUAACCUUUCAAGUUCGAAUUCCACGCUUUUUUGAAUUCCGAAUCGGACUGGCCUGGCUGGAAUAUGUAUUGGUGUUGCUGUUUCCUUUAUGUGAAUUUUAACUUGGUAGUUAUUUAUUUUUCCCAGUCCUUCUUCGAAUAGCUGCUUGUUCUCUUCCAAUAUGUCAUUUAAGUUCUGAUGCAGUGGUUUCGUUGUCGGCUGCACGUGGUUGUUGACACGAUCUACGUUGUACACUGGUUCGGGCAGUGGCAAAUUGAAGGCUUCAUUCCACUCUAAGCCAAAUAACAUUGGAUUCGCGUUGUCCACCACGACUACUUUCAAAGAUCGCGUUCGCUUGUUCAGCGUCACUGUCACUGUAGCUUCCCCUUGGCAAGGUAAAUCGAAAUUGCCAUAAGCCCGUAGUUUUGGCUUCCCUUUAAGCGUUGGUGAUCCGAUCUGUUUCCAAAAAUCUUUACUUAUAAUGGAAACUGACGCGCCCGGAUCCCAGUCCAUCGUACACGUGACACCGUUUAUCUUAACGUCAAUGUUUCUUUUCUUAGCAAUGGCACUCAUUACUUUAAAAACUUGCUCACAACUCGAAAUAGAUGUAUCACUAUUUUUUACGUUGUAAAUACGCUGUUGUUUCUUUUUGUCUCUCACGAUCAAUUUAGCUCUGCCUUUUCUUAUACAGCACGACCCGUAAUGUCCAGGUUUGCCACACGCUUCACAAUUGUGAUUCGCCGCCUUGCAGUUGUCUUUUGAAUGUCUUUCACGCGCACCACAUCUUAAACAUUGUUCUUCCGACAAAAUUCGGAUCCGCUUACCGAUUUUCGCACGACGCUUUACUAUUUUUUUCACUUCCGCGCAUUCACUUUCUACAAUGUCUUUUUCCGCCAACUCUCUUGAUAGCGCUAUUUUGAAAACUUCCGCGAACGACACUUCGUUUUCUAUGCCUUCAAUAUCAUCGAAUGUUUUUAGCUCUGGCCACCUUUGUUUCAAUUCCACUUCAAGUCGGGGAUGGUUGAGACCCGUUGCAAACCGAUCACGUAAUUGACGUUCUAGCAUGUCGCCGUCGUAGCCACAAUCGCGACUUAUGUCUUUUAGCCUGUUCGCGUAAGAUUCGAAUGACUCAUCUUUUUUCCUCACACAAUUCCAAAAGUUCGUUAGAGCUUUGAAGCGCGUGGUUUUUCGUUCAAAAAGCUUCACGAAUUUUUCCGCGAUUUCCGUGUAAGUCAGGUUUUCAAAUUUUUUCUUUGCGUCCGCAAAUGCAAUUUUUAGUUCACGAUAGGUUUCCGGCUUUAGAUAUAAUACGAAUAAUUCUCUUUUCGAACUUAUAUCAUCCGCGAUUCCCCACAUGUGGCACUGGGCUUCAAAAUAAUCUACGAAAACACUAGCCGUUGUAACGCCAUCAUAUUUCUCACAUUUAAAGUUUUUUAGGAUGUUUUGUUUUUUUACCUCUGUAGAGAUGUUUUCUCUACCAACCGUCACGGUAGCGAAAUUUUCAAGAAUUUUUAGGAUGGCGGUUUGUUGCUCCGCCUGCACACGUAAAAAUUCGGCAAACUGUGUGGCGUCCAUAUUUAACUCGCGCUCGGAAAAACGAAAAACACGACCGUCCUCGUCGCCAGUAUGUUGUGGAAUGGCGUUUAUUUGACAGUUGAAUGUAUAUUAAAUACAGUUGUAGUAAACUUAAUUGUUAAUUCACACUAUGUAUUACAUUUAAUGGUUAGUUUACACUGUUACAAUAUUGUUUGGUUUUUUUUUGCAGAAUGACGAGUUGAAGUUCAUUUCUUUGAACCCCCAGCCUGGAGGACCAGGUUAAUUGUUUUAGACCCCCUUGAAGGAGGGGCGUGGAGUUAUCCCCGCUAAGCUGACCGCCCACUUCUACCUUUUUUCUUACUUUGCCCUAUCGCGGGUUUUACAGAGAAUAGUAUUGAAUGUAGAACUUAAAUCGGUCCGUUGGUUUUUUGCUUGAAGUCAGUACUUUCUCCCAUUUUUCUUGCAAUAUAUAGAUUCCGUCGAGCAAAAAGUUUUCAUCUUUUGAAGUCAAGAAUGAAUCGAGCCAAUUUUCGACACUCUGUUCUGAAGUGAAGCGUAUUCCAGUCAUAGCGUUUUGCAUAGAUCGAAACAAAUGGUAGUCGGAGGGAGCGAUGUCUGGACUAUAGGUCGGGUGAGCCAGCAUUUUCCGACAGUUCCUUCCAAAUAGUUUUAACUUGAGCAGCAAUGAUCAAAUAUUAUGGACUCGUAUCUGGACGCAUUAUUUUCGGCUAUAGCUUUCUUUCAAUAAUUCUAUUUUUGCCUGUGGAAGUCCUUGUGAUAGUCUGUCGAGGCUUUAGAAAUUCGUGGUAGAUCACACCCUUUGGAUCCCACCAAAUAUAGAGAAUUAACUUAACACCAUGAAUAUUCGGCUUUGGCGUUGAUGUUCACGUUUGUCCCGGCUUUACAUAUGACAUUUGGCCUUUGAAAUUGUCGUACUAAAUUCGUUUUUCGUCCCUGGUUUUGACUCGAAAGAGAAACGACUUUCUUUUCUACCUGGAUAUGCAAAAUUGUUGUUCGAUAUCGCUCGGUUUUACUCCGUCUGGGAUCCAGUUUCCCUGCUUUUAGAUGUUUCCCGCAGCUUUUGAGUCGUUUCGAAAUAAAGGGGCAUAUCAAAUAUAAACGAGACUGUCUUUUUUUCUAAAUUAUUCUGUUUAUUAGACUUCAUUUACAAGUCUGUUAUUUUUCUACAUACUCUCCUGCCGAGCAAAUGCAUUUUUCCCACCGAAUUGGUAAUUUUUGAAUCCCGUCAUCAUAAAAUUUCUUUGGACGUUCUUGAAGCCGCUGGCGCACGAAUGUCUUGACUGCCGCGCCGUCGUCAAAUCGCUUUCCUCUAAGCUCUUCUUUUAGUGGCCCAAAAAGAUGGAAAUCGAAAGGAGACAAGUCGAGACUGUUGGGAGAAUAUUCUAAGGUUUCCCAGUCAAAGGCGCCAAAUUUUUGUUUUGUUGCGUUUGCCACGUGAGGUCUUGCUUUAUCAUUAGGAAAAAUUACGCUUUCGUGGCAUCCAACAAUAAUACUGUGCACCAAUGACGGAUUGAUCAUAGAGGAAAUCAGAAUGAGUAACACCUUUCCAAUAAAGAAAUGGUUGCCGUUAGUUUGCCGGCUGGCAAUCUCGCGUUCACUUCCCUCUCGCCGUUGUUCCUUCAUUUCAUACUGGAUUGUUUCGACUUGGGUGUGGAAUAGUGCACCCAAGUUUCGUCACAUAUGACGAUUCAAUUGAAAAAUGCGUCUCCCUCUUCCUGGAAUCGUCCUAGUAACCGCUAAGAAACUUCCAAUCGAUGCCGAUAGCAGAUGUGGUACCCAGCUCGCUUAGACUUUUCGCAAGACCGUCAAGCUUUAUCUGGGCUUGGGAGUAGUAUACUAUUCACAUAACAUGACGGAUAAAUUAGUAUCCCAGUAUUCGACUUUACAUAUCUCCAUUGGUGAAUAGAUGCGACAUCUCACUCGGAUUUCUACAAAAACUAUACUGAAGAUUAGAACAGACGCUACAUAACUCAGAUUUUCAAUCAAAAUAUCAAUCACAAUGAAGACGACCUACAUUACGAGGGUAGUCUGAAAAGUUUCCGAACUAACAAUGAUACAAGAUAUUUUUUUUUUUAAUUUUUAUUUUUCUACAUAGUGUCCUUGUAAGUCUACACACUUCUCCUUGCGAUGCUACCAUCUCCUUACCCCGUCUAAAUAGUAUUUGGCGUCUUUCUCUGCAAAAUAAUUAUUUACGAAGGUGAUGGCCUCCUCAUUUGACGAAAUUCUUUGUCCUCCAAAUGCAAUUUUUAGAUUAGGGAACAAAAAGAAGUCAGUUGAGGCUAGAUCUGGUGAAUAAGGAAGGCGGUCAAGCAGUUCAAACCCUAAUUCGUGGAUUUUCGCAAUGGCAACCACAGAGGUGUGAAACGGCGGAUUGUCUUGGUGAAACAGAAUUUUUUUUUCUUCAAAUGUAGCCGUUUUUCCGAAAUUUCUGCCUUUAACUUGUCGAGUAAUGAUACGUAGUAUGUUCCUGUAAUGAUUUUUCCUGUUUGAAGAUAAUUGAUUAAGAUAACUCCAUGACUAUCCCAAAAAAUAGUCACGAUAACUUUCCUAGCCAAACAAACAGUUUUUGCUUUUUUGGAGCCGACUCCACCUUCGCAAUCGACUGUUUUGACUGUAUUUUUGUUUCGGGUGUAUAAUGGUAUAUCCAAGUUUCAUCUACAGUAAUUUUUAAUUUUCGCCAAAACUCUGAUAUAUUGCGCUUAAACUUCUCCAACAGAGCGUUGGAAAUGUUCAUUCGAACACGUUUUUGGUCUAACGUGAACAGCGCGGCACCUAACGCGCGGUCAGCUUUCUCAUGCCUAAAUCUUCACUCAAUAUUUGGCAAACACGUUCUUUUGAUAUAUUCAUAGCCUCUCUCUCUCUUUUGACAUAUUCAUAGCCUCUGUUAUCUCUUUCACUAUAAUUCGACGAUCGUUUAGCACCAUUUAGCGAUGCUAUCGUUAGUGGUUGCAGUUUUUGGACGUCCCGAACGUAAAUCGUGUCCCAAGUUUGUACGGCUACGUUUGAAUUCAAUUGCCCAAAAUUUCACGGUGAUAAAUGUUGGUGCAGGGUCCCCAUACACAACGUCCUACUCAUCUUUGAUUUGCGUAAGCAUAUUGCCUUUCAAAAACAAAUAUUUAAUAGCAGCUCGAUACUAGAUUUUUUCUAUUUUCACAAAAACACUCGCAUUGACUCACUCAGACGAUUGUCAAACAACAACUCCGCUUCCAAAAUGGCUGAAAUUUUUGGUGAGUUUCUGUCAAAAGAUGCGCAACCAUGUUCUCUAAGUUUUAUUGUCGAGUGCUGCCACCUUCACGUUGAGGUCGGGAGCUUUUCAGAUCACCCUCCUAUAAUGGAGUUUUUUGAAAACCCGUAUAUGAAAUUGAUUUCCAAAUAAAGCGCUAAAAAUGUUCGAGUAUCCUAUCGAGACAACACAUUGAUUCGAUGUACGAGGGCUCAAAAAUGCGGCAUCUAUACCAACGCGACAUUCCACCCGGACUUAGUCUAUAGGAGUUGAGUCUUAUUACAGGGGAAUUUCUAGUUGCUCGAAACAUUUCAUUUACCAUUAGGAAUAGGAAUAGGAACUGCUUCCUUUUAUCAUCUAAUUUACGUUGUGAAUUUUCCCACAGAAUCAUAAAGUUACCUACGAAAUGAAUUGGAAGGGAUUUGAUAUAUCCGACCUGUACCCAAUGCAAAGCAUUCUCUAGUUCAAUCCUUUUUCGCUCCCAGUGUGUUUUACUGAGGUGCAAAAGUCAUACAAUCCUGCACUAAUCUAGCAGAUAGCUGAUGGCUGAAUAUAACAAAUUACUCGUAUCUAUAUGCUCCUCGUUUUCAACCCACUAAAGCUCUUCACGAUUAUUCCCUCGAUUAUAUGUUUAAUGUCCGAUUUCUGGAAAGAAGCGCCUUCAAAGAGCUAGUAGGUCUCCAACUCAUGAUGCUUUCACGUGUGUUCUAUAUAUGCUCAACUAAUUUGAAAAAUACAACGUGUAACUGAACUUUUCACAGGUAACCCUCAUCCUUUGGGUAAAAAUGUUGUUCAUUAUUAUUGUCAUUGGUCGGUCCGUUUGCGUGUUUUUAUGCAAUAGACCGCUCUAUACUCACAUCUGCUCUCUCUCGUAUUUAAUUCGGUCUGCUCUAAACUGAAACUCUAAAAUGAAAACCUAAAAGAACCAAUUUGAAAUAUAAUAGUACAACUGUUAAACAACGAUAUACCUUAAACAAAUAACCAUAAAACCUAGCAAAAUGCAUAUUUUAACCCUAGCACACACUGUUCCAAUCGAAUCUCUCCUUCCCACUUGAUUUCACAAUCAUAAAACUCCGACAAAUGAACAACAUUUCGACUACCACUCAUUCACUUCUCAGCAUACAAUAAAUUUAACAUUGAUGUAAUAUUGUAAAUAUAUUUUUCUAAUAAACAAAGUGAAUCUUUCAAAUAUUACAUGAAAAGGAUAUAUAUGAUUGUAUUUAACACAAUAUAUGAACUCGAACUUGGUCGUCUCUAACAAACUCAAAUGCAGAAUGCAACUUCUACUGAUCAUGCACAAACUGCAUAUUUUCAGAUACACAGAAACCACAUAAAAUAGGUAAAAGAUAUAACGCAUUAUAUAUUAUCCUUGGAACCUAAAGUUUUAGAAAUUAUAAAGGUGAAUGGAAACUUAAAUCUAAGAAUAAACACUUUCAAUUUCAUGUUUAAUUCAAAACGAGAGGAAAACUGAAAGAAACAACAUGAAACUAAAAACAUGUAUAGUUUUAAAGAUUGUAUAACGAGGUGAUAUUAGUUUAUUUUAAAAGAAUAAGAAAAUGGAGAUAAGACAUACCGUGAAGCGCUCUAUCCCUGUACAGCAAUUCAAAAUCUCUAGAAGAUUAAUCUAAGAAAUAUAUAAAUAUAAUAAUGAAUCGAAUUGAAUCCAUGAAGUGAUUUUAUAAGAAAAAGAUACUAAACAUUCUGUUCCAUUUGUUUUUCAUUUCGGUUUAAUUGUUGUGUGUUUGUUCUGAACAAUCGUGAUACCUUGAAACCUAAAAGGCAAUGAGUAGUUACAUUCGAUUGCUCUGCGAAAGGACGCUCAAAGAAACGCGCGUCAGAUUUAGGUGAAGAUAUCUUAAAUAUGCAUGCAACCGUUGUGUAGAAGCACAAGUCGAAGCUUUGAACAAGGAAGCCUAAUAAGGACCGAAGCAUCUUCAAUAAACUAUCUCGAUCCUUAGUGUCAACAGAGUGCUCAAUUUGAAAUUUUUCACUUGUAAAAUCUGUCCUCCAUUCUGACUGGAUGUUUCACAAUCAUCAUCAAAUCUUAAUAUUACUGAACCCUCAAGUAAACAAAUUCACAGAAAAAGAUACAUUUCAAAGAUUCUAUCCUGAACUUCUCGUUUUUAAUCGCUAACCAACUAACAGAGUUGAUUUCAGCCACAAUUCACACGAUUACUUCCUACGGUGUCUAACUUGUAAAUAUGAUAAAUUUAUUUUCAAAUAAAAAACGAGAAAUUUACUAAAGAAAGUAUCUUGUUAAUGAAAGAAUGUAUCUACGAUCGCAGCAACAAAAGAAUAUGUAAAUGUAUAUUCCCUUUUUUACAAACAAAACCGAUUGCAACAUAAAGUAUCUCCAACAGUUCUUACUACUGACAAAUUAUGCAUUGUGUGUGUAUAAAUUGUACUAGACACAUUUUUUAAAUUAUCAAAUUGAAGAGAAAAAAUGUUAAUUUCAUCAAUUUUUCAGUGGUAAAAUGAAAAAACAUAGAAUUGUUCAAUUAAAAUUUAUAUUUAAGGGACAAGCAAGACCCCUUCUAGUUAUUAGUUUCCAUUAGUUAGUCGUAUCUAAUUUUAUAAAACCGAAACAUAAAAAUAAUGCAAAAAAAAAAAACAAAAAACAAUUUAAAUAGCUAUGAGAAAAAGAAAAGAAACGAAAUAUAAUUAAAGAAUCUGUAAAAUUUUACUUCGGCUGUUGUCACUGUUAUGAAAUCGAAAAAAAAAGUGGUUGCGACUAUUCUUUAUGAAAGAAUGUCCUCAUUGCCAUGUUUUCUUUGAUUUCAAAUCGAUUUGUAAAAAGAUUUGUGUACUUUUUUUCCUUUAAAUAUAAACCGAGUUUUUACAUUUUUAUUAUCAAUUGUAAAUAAAAGAAAAAAUCGCUUCUAUUAUAGGUGACUACGUUAAGUAAGAAAUCCUUAAUUUUCCCUUAUGGUUUCAAUGUGCAUACUAUCCCUUGUCCUCUGUUCUGUUUUUCGUCUCCGCUGAAUCAAUUUCCGCUUUCAAAUCUCUCGUCUGAUAAUCAAUACGAAAUAAUACUGAAUACAACAAAAUAUUUUUAUAUGAAUUCCACUAGUUUUUGUAUACGUUUAAUGUUCAGGAUGGGUUGAAAAGGACCCUACUAUGUAAGAUGCGUAUCAGUGAGAAGCGUAAAUUGUUGUUCUGUUUUUCAAAUUGUGCUGAUAGAAAAGGCUUAUGUGCUUCGUGUAUAAGAACUGAUUAAAAUAGACACAAAACGAUGUACGUCUAGCUAUCGAAUGGCGAAUUUGUUGAGAAAGAAGGAAAAAAACCGAAGAGAUCCGGACAAGAUGAAAUUUAAUUGAAUGGUUUUUUUUUGUAAUUACUUUUUAUAUCAUACUUACUUUCGAUUAUAUCUAUGUAUAAUUAAUUUGUUCGUUUUGGUUAUUGAUUAAAAAGUCAAAUUGUAAACAAUAAA
rnacentral:misc_RNA from 1 species